UUCCCUGUAAGUAAGAUGUGGAUAUUCCACUAGUGUGCUUUGGUUGUGCUGAUCUCAGCAUACAGCCCUAGUCUAAUCUUAUUAUUGCUGUUAUAUCCAUAGCAGCUAUUCAGGUCAUUCUGUACUGUAGUCCUGUGCUUCUGUCCUGGCUACUGAAGUCCAGCUGCUAUGAAAGGCUGGUUAAAGUAAUUUAGCUAUAUAAAUAUUGCAAAACAAGUCAGUGAAUGAGUUACAGAGAUGAGCAGCCUUACCCAUGCAAAUGAUCCUAUCUCCACUACCACUAGUGAAGAAUUUGAUGGGAACCCAGAGGAAGAGGAAGAAGGUGAUCCUCUGUUGAUGUUUGCAAGGCACUCUAGAUGUCUGAGUGACAUCCCUUGGGAGGACAAAAGCAGGAACCAGAAAAUCGUGUAUUCUAUGGAUAAAGCAUUCCUGGGUUUCUUGAGUCUCUUUGUCAUCUAUGUUAUGUUGGAUGUUGUGUAUAAGUUUGUGUACAUUGCAAGGCCACAUGCAGUACUUCAACUCCUACUAAACUGGCUCCUCACCCAGGAAACGGAGGAAGAGUUUCUUGAUUUAUGAAGCCUUUGUGGAAUGCUGCUCACUGUUUUGGUAACAAGAUUCAAGCUCCUGAAUUGAACUUCACAAGCUCAUCCCAAGUGUAAAGAUUUCACAUUCAGAUUUUCUCUCUGGUUACCUCAAUGUCAUAUUGCUGAAUAGAAACCAAUGAGAAGGAAGACAACAGAAAAAGCACCUUUUUUGUUUCCUGUCUUGUUUUUCCUAGCUUGACAUGUUAUAAUUAUAUUACUGUAGGCAUACUUAAAGCAUUUUGGAUAUAAACAUUUAUAUGCCUGGAUACAGAUACCAACAUAUUUCCAGAAACACAUUUUUGCCCACACUGAAACUGAAAUAUAUCCCCAGCAAGAAAAUCAUACUUACAUAAGAAAGCACUAUAUACAUGCAGACAAAUACUUAUCUAUCUAGAAUGGAACAUUUUUGUACCCCAUCAAAGGUACCUAUGUAUACAUACACGCACACAUGUAUACAUAUGCACAGCUUUGGACGAGUAGACGUUUACAUCUGUUAUGCUGUGUAAAUGUAAUACAUGCAGACAGUUUAAUGUCUAAUAACUGCUGAAUUUCAAUACUUUUAUUUUACAGUUAUUUUACGUUAUGCUUGUCUACAUUAUAAACAUAUAUAAGUGGGAUAGUCAGUGGUGGGACGUGUCACAAAUCAUUAUAUAAAGAUGUCUAUAUCUGUGACCUCAAGUAAUAUGUGAUGUUAAAUAACUUCCUGGAUAGCAAAUAUAUGUGAGUUGUCAUAUGCCACAGGCCACCGUACUACAGUUAUUUUACAAGUAUUGUAUAUUUCAUUUAUGCAACGAACAUUUAUUGAACAUUGCAUUUGUUGCAUACAAGUGCAAGACAUGAUUUUUCUACUUUAUUUAAUCAUUAUAGAAAUAAAAUAUCUACACAAAGCACAGUUGCAUACACAGUUUUCUGCUGAACGACUUAAUCAUUGCAGGACCUACUAUCCAUAUUUGUUUUCAGCUUACUUGUGAUUGUGAAAAUACAUGCAAUUAUUGUUCUCUGCUUUUGUUCUUUUACAAAAUCAAAACAAUAUAUGGAUACAAAAAUAAGUGAAUAUCAUUGUGCUGAACAGCCUUUAUGCUUGUUGUGCUUUAUUUUUAUUUUUAUUUUAGUGUUAGAUAUAGUUAAAAUUGUAUGUUUUCAUAAUUAAAAAACAUCAUAAAGUCUAAAAGAUUCCCACAAAUAAAACAUGAGUUGUUAUAUAGAUAUUUUUUACAAUGAGCACAAUUCAUUCUCAUAGUAUUAUUCACAGUUACGUUUAAGAACUGGGGACGGUAUUUCUCUUGUUUUGCUUACAAGCAAAAUGUAAAACAUACUUAUAAAUAACUUAUAACUUGCUUUAAGUCUUUAACUCCCUCCACCUUGUGACCCAGACACAUUUGCAUAUAUUUUACUUUAUAUUGUCUAUAAUGCCACUUUUGCACAAUUGUAAACAUUUUUAAUUGUAAUCAGUGUGACCUAGUGACCCAGUCUCAGUUGUAUAUGUAGUAAUCCACUUUAUACUGUCUAAGAUGCCACUUUUGCACAUUUACAAUUUUUUUUUAAAUUGUAAUCUGCGUGCUCAAUUACAUUAUACUACUGUAUUUUUACUAUAUUCUACUAAGUAAAACUACAAAUGCAUGGUAUUUUUCUCUCUGUGUGUUUAUGAAUGUAAUUUUGUUUUUUUUGUUUUUUUUUAACACUGGAGCUUUUCUCCUGAGAUCUCCACUGAAAAUGGGCUAUUAGCUCAGUUGGACUAACCCGGUUAACAAAUGUCAAAUUAAUAAAUAAAUAAAUGAAUUUGUGCUCAUGGUUAAAUGCCA